rnacentral:rRNA from 1 species
GGAGUAAUGCGUGACCAACCUGCCCCAUGCUCCAGAAUAGCUCUUGGAAACGGGUGGGGUAAUGCUGGAUGCUCCAACUUGACGCAUGUCUUGUUGGGAAAGUGUUUAGUGGCAUGGGAUGGGGUCGCGUCCUAUCAGCUUGUAGGCGGGGUAAUGGCCCACCUAGGCUUCGACGGGUAGCCGGCCUGAGAGGGCGGACGGCCACAUUGGGACUGAGAUACGGCCCAGACUCCUACGAGAGGCAGCAGCA